UACGUAGGGGCCUAGCGUUGUCCGGAUUCAUUGGGCGUAAAGCGCGCGUAGGCGGCUCGGAAAGUCGGGCGUGAAAUGCCGGGGCUCAACCCCGGGACUGCGUCCGAUACUUCCGAGCUGGAGGUAGGUAGGGGAGAUCGGAAUUCCGUGGUCGUAGCGGUGAAAUGCGAGCGUAUAAUCAGGAGGAACAGCCGGUGGCGGAAGGCGGAUCUCUGGGCCUUACCUGACGCUGGAGGCGCGAAAGCUAGGGGAGCGAGCAGG
rnacentral:rRNA from 1 species